AUUGAUCAUCCAGAUGGAGGUAAUCAAUCAUCAAUGAUCUUACCGACAAGACCUUGUAGUGUGGAGGGAUUGGAAUGCUUAGGGGAAGAGCAGGGACCUAUCUCAUCUAAAACUAGUUCUGGUGUGCAGAACCAGAUAAUUUCCAAUGCAGAGUCCUGCGCAAAGAAUGGCUGUAGUGCUAUUCUUGAUUCAGAUAUUAUUAAUGUUCCAACAGAAAAGACAGCCUGUAA
rnacentral:misc_RNA from 1 species